rnacentral:rRNA from 1 species
CAAGGUUAACCGUAUAGGGGAGCCGCAGGGAAACCGAGUCUUAACUGGGCGUUAAGUUGCAGGGUAUAGACCCGAAACCCGGUGAUCUAGCCAUGGGCAGGUUGAAGGUUGGGUAACACUAACUGGAGGACCGAACCGACUAAUGUUGAAAAAUUAGCGGAUGACUUGUGGCUGGGGGUGAAAGGCCAAUCAAACCGGGAGAUAGCUGGUUCUCCCCGAAAGCUAUUUAGGUAGCGCCUCGUGAAUUCAUCUUCGGGGGUAGAGCACUGUUUCGGCUAGGGGGUCAUCCCGACUUACCAACCCGAUGCAAACUACGAAUACCGAAGAAUGUUAUCACGGGAGACACACGGCGGGUGCUAACGUCCGUCGUGAAGAGGGAAACAACCCAGACCGCCAGCUAAGGUCCCAAAGUCAUGGUUAAGUGGGAAACGAUGUGGGAAGGCACAGACAGCCAGGAUGUUGGCUUAGAAGCAGCCAUCAUUUAAAGAAAGCGUAAUAGCUCACUGGUCGAGUCGGCCUGCGCGGAAGAUGUAACGGGGCUAAACCAUGCACCGAAGCUGCGGCAGCGACACUAUGUGUUGUUGGGUAGGGGAGCGUUCUGUAAGCCUGCGAAGGUGACCUGUGAGGGUUGCUGGAGGUAUCAGAAGUGCGAAUGCUGACAUAAGUAACGAUAAAGCGGGUGAAAAGCCCGCUCGCCGGAAGACCAAGGGUUCCUGUCCAACGUUAAUCGGGGCAGGGUGAGUCGACCCCUAAGGCGAGGCCGAAAGGCGUAGUCGAUGGGAAACAGGUUAAUAUUCCUGUACUUGGUGUUACUGCGAAGGGGGGACGGAGAAGGCUAUGUUAGCCGGGCGACGGUUGUCCCGGUUUAAGCAUGUAGGCUGAUUAUCCAGGCAAAUCCGGAUAAUCAAGGCUGAGGUGUGAUGACGAGGCACUACGGUGCUGAAGUAACAAAUGCCCUGCUUCCAGGAAAAGCCUCUAAGCAUCAGGUAACAUCAAAUCGUACCCCAAACCGACACAGGUGGUCAGGUAGAGAAUACCAAGGCGCUUGAGAGAACUCGGGUGAAGGAACUAGGCAAAAUGGUGCCGUAACUUCGGGAGAAGGCACGCUGGUGUGUAGGUGAAGCCCCUGCGGGUGGAGCUGAGACCAGUCGAAGAUACCAGCUGGCUGCAACUGUUUAUUAAAAACACAGCACUGUGCAAACACGAAAGUGGACGUAUACGGUGUGACGCCUGCCCGGUGCCGGAAGGUUAAUUGAUGGGGUUAUCCGUAAGGAGAAGCUCUUGAUCGAAGCCCCGGUAAACGGCGGCCGUAACUAUAACGGUCCUAAGGUAGCGAAAUUCCUUGUCGGGUAAGUUCCGACCUGCACGAAUGGCGUAAUGA